UUGAACGCUGGCGGCAUGCUUUACACAUGCAAGUCGAACGGCAGCGCGGGCUUCGGCCUGGCGGCGAGUGGCGAACGGGUGAGUAAUGCAUCGGAACGUGCCCAGUAGUGGGGGAUAGCCCGGCGAAAGCCGGAUUAAUACCGCAUACGACCUGAGGGUGGAAGCGGGGGACCGAAAGGCCUCGCGCUAUUGGAGCGGCCGAUGUCGGAUUAGCUAGUUGGUGGGGUAAAGGCUUACCAAGGCGACGAUCCGUAGCUGGUCUGAGAGGACGACCAGCCACACUGGGACUGAGACACGGCCCAGACUCCUACGGGAGGCAGCAGUGGGGAAUUUUGGACAAUGGGGGCAACCCUGAUCCAGCCGUGCCGCGUGCGGGAAGAAGGCCUUCGGGUUGUAAACCGCUUUUGUUCGGGAAGAAAUCCUCUGGGCUAAUACCCCGGGGGGAUGACGGUACCGGAAGAAUAAGCACCGGCUAACUACGUG
rnacentral:rRNA from 1 species